UACAGAGGGGGCAAGCGUUGUUCGGAAUUACUGGGCGUAAAGGGCGCGUAGGCGGCCUUCUAAGUCGAACGUGAAAUCCCCGGGCUCAACCCGGGAACUGCGUCCGAUACUGGAAGGCUUGAAUUCGGGAGAGGGAUGCAGAAUUCCAGGUGUAGCGGUGAAAUGCGUAGAUAUCAAGUGGAACACCAGUGGCGAAGGCGAAUCCCUGGAAAAUACCUGACACUGAGGCACGAAAGCUAGGGGAGCAAACAGG
rnacentral:rRNA from 1 species